rnacentral:rRNA from 1 species
GAUGAACGCUGGCGGCGUGCCUAAUACAUGCAAGUCGAGCGAACGGACGAGAAGCUUGCUUCUCUGAUGUUAGCGGCGGACGGGUGAGUAACACGUGGAUAACCUACCUAUAAGACUGGGAUAACUUCGGGAAACCGGAGCUAAUACCGGAUAAUAUUUUGAACCGCAUGGUUCAAAAGUGAAAGACGGUCUUGCUGUCACUUAUAGAUGGAUCCGCGCUGCAUUAGCUAGUUGGUAAGGUAACGGCUUACCAAGGCAACGAUGCAUAGCCGACCUGAGAGGGGGGUCAGGCCCACCGGGACGGAGACACGGGCCCGAGCCCCACGGGAGGGAACGGGUGGGGAUAUUUCCCCAAGGGGGGAAAGCUGAGGGGGGCAAGCCCCGGGGAGGAAUAAGGGUUUUGGGUUCGAAAAACCUUUUUUUUGGGGAAAAACAAUUGUUAAGAAAACCGGCCCCCUUUUACGGGAACCAAAUAAGAAGCCCCCGGCAACCUCGGU